AACGUCACACGCUGUUUCGUAAUCUUUGCCAUCUUGUUCUUGAUGAGGUUGAGGUGCUGUUCUCUGAUGGUCCUGAACAGGUGUUUACUAUAUGAGAUUGUUACAAGAAACCCGUUAUUGCUGAAGAAUGGAAGUAUUCACAGCAAAUUAUUGCUGUUGGAACUCAUUGGAAUAAACAUACAGCACACUAGAUAAAGGAGCUCAGGAACGAUCCUUGUGAUGUGGUAACAGCCAUUGAAGAAGCUUCCAUCUACGGAAAUGUGUAACAGGUUGUACAGCCUUGUAUGGACAGUGAAAGAACCGCUGUGUUACUCAAAAUACUGGCUUUUACCCACAGUAAUCUUCAGAAGGUGCC